UACGUAGGGUGCAAGCGUUGUCCGGAAUUAUUGGGCGUAAAGGGCUCGUAGGCGGUCCAUCACGUCGGGAGUGAAAAGCUGGGGCUUAACCCCAGUCCUGCUUCCGAUACGGGUGGACUAGAGGUAGGCAGGGGAGAACGGAAUUCCUGGUGUAGCGGUGAAAUGCGCAGAUAUCAGGAGGAACACCGGUGGCGAAGGCGGGUCUCUGGGCCGAAACUGACGCUGAGGAGCGAAAGCGUGGGGAGCGAACAGG
rnacentral:rRNA from 1 species